CACCUGGCUCCCUUAAACAGGUACCUGUCACCGGUGAGAAACAGACUGUCACUUGUACAUUGUACUCUACGGCUCAGCACCAGAGGCUAAUGCGGAGAGACAGGAAACUGGCAACAUGGUCUGAUUAAUACUGAGCGCCUGCAACUACGUGGCAGUGAAAAUUGGAAGUCUGUGUCGAAACAAUGAAGAUCAGGAACCUCCAACCCCUUAUUCAUGUCCAGUGUCGGCAAAGGCAAAACCUAAUGAACCUCCAGUGAAGACCACAGCACCAGAAGUAAAGACCCCAAAACAAGAUGAACCAGCUCGGCAAUGCAGAUCCUGAGGGUAGUGGCACCAAGUCACAUGACUUGGCCGAAACACCUCCAUCUCCUACACCUGGAUUCAUGGUCUUCAUGCUCUGCUCCAAAUCCAUCGGAAACUAUAGUGUCAAAGCUCAAGAACAUACAAUUUAAUGCUGAUACAAUAACGACCCGUCUUCUUAGAACUUUACCUUACCUUGUAUGACCUUUAACUUUGAAAUGUAGCUGCAGUUCAGGGACGUCAAUUAAUUCCAUGUCACCGGUGAGAUAAUGAUCGUUUCCCUUCAAGACAUUUCAAGACAUUUUCUCCUUAUAACUAGUUUGGUAAGAAAGAAGGAAGCCUGAAAAGUAAAGGACACAAUCAUUAUCUCACUGCUGUCCUGAUCAUAUCAAUGUACAGUAUAGAAAAAAACUGAUUUCACUGCAGUCUGCCCCACCUUAGUUGUAUCGUAUCACACGCCCACAUCAAAAUAGGACGCAAUAUACAACAGAGCGAUAUAAAAUUGCAAAUGCCGUACUAGGAAAAAGCAAGCAUGGCUGCAACUAACUGGAAAAGACAAGUAUUUUGUCAACGCUGCCACUGGGGUUAAUUGUA